AUACGUAGGGGGCGAGCGUUGUCCGGAAUGAUUGGGCGUAAAGGGCGCGUAGGCGGCUUUGCAAGUCAGUAGUGGAAGUCCAUUUUUCAAGGAUGGAAGUGCUACAGAAACUGCGGAGCUUGAGUGUAGGAGAGGUUAUCGGAAUUCCCGGUGUAGCGGUGAAAUGCGUAGAGAUCGGGAGGAACACCAGUGGCGAAGGCGGGUAACUGGACUGCAACUGACGCUGAGGCGCGAAAGUGUGGGGAGCAAACAGGAUUAGAUACCCUGGUAGUCCACACUGUAAACGAUGAAUGCUAGGUGUAGGAGGUAUCGACCCCUUCUGUGCCGCAGUAAACACAGUAAGCAUUCCGCCUGGGGAGUACGGUCGCAAGAUUAAAACUCAAAGGAAUUGACGGGG
rnacentral:rRNA from 1 species